CUGUUUGUGUCCCUGGUUUGGGCCCCAUGCUUCCGGGAUGUGCCCCAGGCUGACUGUGACCCCAGCCUGGGCAAGAGGGGGAAAGAUAGAUGGAUGAUUUUUAAACAUUUAAAACCCACAAAAAGGGAGGCAGUGAGGUUAAGGAGAGUCAGGAAUUGAGUGUCAGUCUCCACAGAUCUGAGGUCAGCGAUACACACAUAAGGCUCCUCUGAUGCUCCUCUUCAUCUUCUUCUUCACUGAUGGGCCUCCAGGACAUAAGCCAAGUCAAAUGAAAGCGGUGUGACUGAAUUCAACAUGGAGCAUUACAACAGAAGAGGAAGAGGAGUGCGAGUCAGAGGAGGUGGACGAGGAGGAAGACCAAGAAGAAGAGGUGUAAUUUCAAAUGAAAUCAGAGCAACGGUCAUAGAUCACGUUGUGGUUCAUGGCAUGACUAUGAGGGAAGCAGGACAACACGUGCAACCAAAUCUAUGCCGGUUCACAGUGGCCUCCAUGGUCAGGACCUUCAGGGAAGAAAACCGAAUUGACAGAUGGCCACAUACAGUAGGGGUGGAAGAGCAUGUAAGUUCUCAGAAGAACACGAGAUAGUAAUUGUUGAGAUGGUCCAUCAAAACAAUGCAAUACAACUGUGUGAAAUACAACAGCAGAUUAUUGAAGACAAUGUGCAUUUCGAUAGAAUAAAUCAUGUGAGUCUUUCAACAAAUGACCGUGUCCUGCAACGCAACCAGAUAAGGAUGAAACAAGCCUAUAGGGUGCCGUUUGAGCGAAACUGAAAUAGUGAAAGAGCAACGAAAUCAAUAUGUGCAAGUAACUAAACUGUUACAGUACACUCUGCACUAGCAUGUACAGUAUACUGUACUAUAUAUGUCAUUCACAGAACGGAGGGUAAUCUAUUUUGAUUGUGUAUAGAGACUUUUUGAACUUGACUCAAUGGAGAGGCCUCACAAAUACAUCUUCAUGGAUGAAGCUGGAUUCAAUCUGGCAAAAAGGAGAAAGAGAGGUCGCAGCAUAACUGGUCAACGUGCCAUUGUAGAAGUGCCUGGCCAGUGUGGUGGAAAUGUGACCAUAUGCGCUGCCAUCAGCAGCUAUGGGGUUGUCCACUGCCAUGUUGUUGUUGGGCCAUACGAUACUGACCUUCUUCUAACAUUCCUGGAUGGUCUAUGGGAUGCUUUGCUCGGACAUGAGCGGAGAGGUGACGAGCAGGCAGAGCAUCGCAUUUAUGUUAUCAUUUAGGACAAUGUGAGCUUUCACCGUGGUCCAAGAAUACGUGAUUGGUUUAACAAUAACCAGCAUUUUAUGAAUGUUUGCCUUCCACCAUACACUCCCUUUUUAAACCCUACUGAGGAAUUUUUCUCAGCAUGGCGGUGGAAAGUAUAUUACCGAAAUCCCUACAUACUGGAAAAUCUCAUCCAAGCAAUGGAUGCAGCGUGUGAUGAUGUAAGAAUGGAAUCUUGCCAAGGCUGGAUUCGGGAAGCCAAAGGAUUCUUUCCACGUUGUCUUGCAAGUGAGAACAUUGCAUGUGAUGUAGAUGAAGUCCUGUGGCCUGACUGGAUGCAGAGGCAUGAUGAUGCGGCUGAAUCACUGAUCGAUUUUGAUGUAAAAAUAUGUAAAAGUACAGAGUGCAUUUUGUUUUGCUGCAGGUUUCUUUGUUUGGAUGUAAAUAAGCUUUCAUAGGUACAGGAAUGUCCUAAAUAAAGAUUAUUUUCCUUUUA